GAUGAACGCUGGCGGCGUGCUUAACACAUGCAAGUCGAACGGAAAGGCCCAAGCUUGCUUGGGUACUCGAGUGGCGAACGGGUGAGUAACACGUGGGUGAUCUGCCCUGCACUUCGGGAUAAGCCUGGGAAACUGGGUCUAAUACCGGAUAGGACCACAUUUUGGAUGGUGUGGUGGAAAGUUUUUCGGUGUGGGAUGAGCUCGUGGCCUAUCAGCUUGUUGGUGGGGUAAUGGCCUACCAAGGCGUCGACGGGUAGCCGGCCUGAGAGGGUGUACGGCCGCAUUGGGACUGAGAUACGGCCCAGACUCCUACUGGAGGCAGAAGUGGGGAAUAUUGCACAAUGGGCGCAAGCCGGAUGCAGCGACGCCUCGUGGGGGAUGACGGCCUUCGGGUUGUAAACUCCUUUCGCUAGGGACGAAGCGUUAUGUGACGGUACCUGGAGAAGAAGCACCGGCUAACUACGUG
rnacentral:rRNA from 1 species